rnacentral:sRNA from 1 species
CUACAUUUGGUACUUCUUCUCCUUUGAUU